UGAAAACCAGCUUCUGGCACUUAAAGAAGUGAACACCAGACAAAAUCUGGAAAUCCGAGGCCUGAAAUGCAAAAUCAGCAGCAUGGAGAAAAGCUUUCGCUUAAUGGAGGAAAAACUUUACAAAGUGGAGAACGAGUUGAACAAAG